GGGAUGUUAGCUCAACGGUUAGAGCAGCAGACUCAUAAUCUGUUGGUUGGGGGUUCAAAUCCCUCACGUCCCA
rnacentral:tRNA from 3 species